GCCUGUUGUAUUCAGCAUUUCACUGUGAGGUCUACUACACCUGUUGUAUUCAGCAUUUCACUGUGAGGUCUACUACACCUGUUGUAUUCAGCAUUUCACUGUGAGGUCUACUACACCUGUUGUAUUCAGCAUUUCACUGUGAGGUCUACUACACCUGUUGUAUUCAGCAUUUCACUGUGAGGUCUACUACACCUGUUGUAUUCAGCAUUUCACUGUGAGGUCUACUACACCUGUUGUAUUCAGCAUUUCACUGUAAGGUCUACUACACCUGUUGUAUUCAGUAUUUCACUGUAAGGUCUACUACACCUGUUGUAUUCAGUAUUUCUCUGUAAGGUCUACUACACCUGUUGUAUUCAGCAUUUCACUGUGAGGUCUACUACACCUGUUGUAUUCAGCAUUUCACUGUAAGGUCUACUACACAUGUUGUAUUCAGCAUUUCACUGUAAGGUCUACUACACCUGUUGUAUUCAGCAUUUCACUGUGAGGUCUACUACACCUGUUGUAUUCAGCAUUUCACUGUAAGGUCUACUACACCUGUUGUAUUCAGCAUUUCACUGUGAAGUCUACUACACCUGUUGUAUUCAGCAUUUCACUGUGAGGUCUACUACACCUGUUGUAUUCAGCAUUUCACUGUGAGGUCUACUACACCUGUUGUAUUCAGCAUUUCACUGUGAGGUCUACUACACCUGUUGUAUUCAGCAUUUCACUGUGAGGUCUACUACACCUGUUGUAUUCAGCAUUUCACUGUAAGGUCUACUACACCUGUUGUA